rnacentral:rRNA from 1 species
CGUCGACCGGCGCACGGGUGAGUAACGCGUAUCCAACCUUCCCAUAACUAAGGGAUACCCCGUAGAAAUGCGGCCUAAUACCUUAUGUUCUCCCGGCCUGACAUCAGAACGGGAGCAAAGAUUGAUCGGUUAUGGAUGGGGAUGCGUCUGAUUAGCCUGCUGGCGGGGUAACGGCCCACCAGGGCAUCGAUCAGUAGGGGUUCUGAGAGGAAGGUCCCCCACACUGGUACUGAGACACGGACCAGACUCC